UCGUGUGUCUCGCUGCCUGUAGUCGUACGUCUCAUCCCAUGCAACAGCAUAAGUCUAACAACCACAUUGCACGCUGCAGCCAGAUGGUGAAAGGUGUGAUGAAGAAAAGUUCAACCGUUGUAUGCAGGAUGUGGUGCCCGUGUUAUCCAGAAGUAGCUGUGCUGGAGUUAUUCCGAAGCAGCUGAGCCAGAAUUUGUGCAAAUUGCUGACUUCAAAAUUUUAACUUCUUUCAUUUGUGUUUUUUGCUUUGCAAGUGGUAUCCGUGGUGCUGAUUUGAAAUAUUUUUAUCCCCUUUUAUUUGUGGUUUUGCUCUGCCAGUGAGUUUCUGACUUGAAUUUGUUUCAUCUGUCGUCUUUUGCGUUUUUACUUGGGCAGUAUACGAUUAUGGCAAACUGAUUCUAUGUCAGUUUUGAUACAGUCGACAACUGCUAGAUUAAAUUCCGGCUUUCCGCACCAACUAAAUAAUAACGGCACAUGUUAUUAUCGCGGUUGGGAAAGUCACAGGCCUCCCCCUCCCUGGGGGCCAUAAAAUAUAUAUGUGGGUGUGUUAAAAUAAAUAAAAAAAGUAAA